rnacentral:tRNA from 1 species
CAGAGUGUAGCUAAAUAGUAUAGCAUCUCCCUUACACUGAGAAAGCAUCUGUGCAAAUCGGAUCACCCUGA